rnacentral:rRNA from 1 species
AGAGUUGAGUCCUGGCUAGGACGAACGCUGGCGGCGUGCCUAACACAUGCAAGUCGAACGGAGUUAAUGAUUUCGGUUGUUAACUUAGUGGCGAACGGGUGAGUAACGCGUGAACAACCUGACCCAAAGAGGGGGAUAACAUUUGGAAACAGAUGCUAAUACCGCAUAAGACCACAACGUCACAUGGCGAAGGGGUCAAAGGAGCAAUCCGCUUUGGGAGGGGUUCGCGUCCCAUUAGGUAGUAGGCGGGGUAACAGCCCACCUAGCCAACGAUGGGUAGCCGAGCUGAGAGGCUGAUCGGCCACACUGGAACUGAGACACGGUCCAGACUCCUACGGGAGGCAGCAGUGGGGAAUAUUGGGCAAUGGGCGCAAGCCUGAACCCCAGCAACGCCGCGUGAGGGAAGAAGGUUUUCGGAUUGUAAACCUCUGUCGCAGAAGACGAAGGAAGUGACGGUAUUCUGUGAGGAAGCCCCGGCUAACUACGUGCCAGCCGCUGC